UCACAAAUCGGCUCUUCUGGUAAUCAUUGAUCUUGAUGACUUGUUUCCAGUACUCUGCCACCUCUGGAAGGCCAUUGCACUCGCAGAUGUAAACAAGAUUCAGAAUAUCCUUCUGGAAGCAGGACCCACCAAAACCAACACUAGCAUUCAAGAACUUGGGACCAAUCCUUGAAUCCUUUCCAACAGCAUAGGCCACCUCGGCAACAUCAGCCCCAGUUGCCUCACAGAGUGCUGACAUGGCAUUAACGGAGGAAAUCCUUUGGGCCA
rnacentral:lncRNA from 1 species